rnacentral:rRNA from 1 species
GCAUAUCAAUAAGCGGAGGAAAAGAAACUAACAAGGAUUCCCUUAGUAACGGCGAGUGAAGCGGGAAGAGCUCAAAUUUGAAAUCUCCAAGGUUCUACCUUGACGAAUUGUAGUUUAAAGAAGUGUUUUCUGUUAGAUGAGUAGCAAAAGUUCCUUGGAAUGGGACAUCAUAGAGGGUGAGAAUCCCGUAUUUGGUUAUUCAUUCUAGCUUUGUGAUACACUUCCAAAGAGUCGGAUUGUUUGGGAAUGCAGUCCAAAUGGGUGGUAAAUUUCAUCUAAAGCUAAAUAUUGGCGAGAGACCGAUAGCGAACAAGUACCGUGAGGGAAAGAUGAAAAGAACUUUGAAAAGAGAGUUAAACAGUACGUGAAAUUGUCAAAAGGGAAGCGUUUGACACCAGUGUUGUUUUUCCGAAAAUCAAUUACGAAUGGCUUGAUUUUGUGUUGUAUUGACCUUAUCAGCUUUCUUCACUUUUUUCGAGUCUUUCUUAAUGCACUUUUCGGUUAACAAGUCAACAUCAAUUUCUUUUGUUGUAAAAGAGUAUUCGGAAGGUGGCUUUCUUUUCGGAGAAAGUGUUUAUAGCCCUAUACUUCUACAAUCGGAGAGAUUGAGGUCUGCAGCGUAGAUCCUUCGGGGUUAGAUACACUUGUGCUAAGUUGUAGCUUUUCAUAGACAACUUGUUGACUAUGUUUAGUCAUGCGGCUUACUCGCUUGUGCUAUUUUACCUACGCUUAAGAUGUUGACAAAAUGGUUUUAAACGACCCGUCUUGAAACACGGACC